GGGGUAGAGACGCUAGGCCGGCACUGCCUAGGUGGGCCGGGCGGUGCGAGGGUCGCCUUUCAGCCUUUACCUCUACCCACUGAAAUGGAGUAGGUCGGUGAGCGCCGAUCUGCUGGAGAAUCUCAUUAUCCCAUCGGCGCUCUGCCUGCUCCUGGCCUCCAAGCCUCUGAAGCCCCUCGGGUUUCAGCUGCCGGCUACCCUCGAGCCCGUGGUGCCCACGAGAGAGGCGACUUUACGUCAGCGGCCCUGGGCUGAGAUUUGAGAACGCGACCAAGUGGAGAAUGUUGGAGCCAGAUUUUAAAAUCCUUGUCUUCCUUCUGCGUGCUACUUGAUCUAAAUGAGAUACGGCAAAGUCACAGAACCUGUUUUUAUGUUUUUGCCUGAUUCAUACGGGCUUCUCCGGUGAAGAUGGGCCUGAAGUAACGCUUGGGUUGCUUCUGACGUUAUAACUCAUCCUGUAGCUGCAGCAACCGUGGUCCUUGCAACCUCAUAAAAAUGUUGCCAGCAUUGUUUCGAUAGUGCUGCUUAAUUCUUGGAAGGUUCUUCGGACUUCACACAUUCCAGCAGUAGCUCUCUCAGCUCCUGUCCUGCACAGCUUUGAAGUGCUGGUGAUGUCAUUGAACUCUUAAGUGCAAGAUGAAACAAGUCUUUCUGGGGUUCUAAGUAGAAAUGCAUAUGUAUCUUUGGAAGAAACUCUGAAGUAAAGGCCGGAAUAUUCUUUGUUUAAAACAUUAAAAACAAAACAGACCAAAGCAUCAAGCAAGAAGUUUCCUGGCAAUAAACUAAGCACAGCAUUAUUUUUUAAGGAACACAAAUUAAGUGUUCAACCUGUGGCAAAUUUGUACUUUCUCCCUGAAUUAUGUUGUUAUCAAAGAAAAAAAUUGGGAAGCAUGGCAAAAUAUCAUCAAAACUGAAACUA
rnacentral:lncRNA from 1 species